rnacentral:rRNA from 1 species
GACGAACGCUGGCGGCGUGCUCAACACAUGCAAGUCGAACGGAAAGGCCCUGCUCUUGUGGGGUGCUCGAGUGGCGAACGGGUGAGUAACACGUGAGUAACCUGCCCUUGACUUUGGGAUAACUUCAGGAAACUGGGGCUAAUACCGGAUAGGAGCUCCUGCUGCAUGGUGGGGGUUGGAAAGUUUCGGCGGUUGGGGAUGGACUCGCGGCUUAUCAGCUUGUUGGUGGGGUAGUGGCUUACCAAGGCUUUGACGGGUAGCCGGCCUGAGAGGGUGACCGGCCACAUUGGGACUGAGAUACGGCCCAGACUCCUACGGGAGGCAGCAGUGGGGAAUAUUGCACAAUGGGCGGAAGCCUGAUGCAGCAACGCCGCGUGCGGGAUGACGGCCUUCGGGUUGUAAACCGCUUUCGCCUGUGACGAAGCGUGAGUGACGGUAAUGGGUAAAGAAGCACCGGCUAACUACGUG